GACAGAGGAUGCAAGCGUUAUCCGGAUUCACUGGGUUUAAAGGGUGCGUAGGAGGGCAGGUAAGUCAGUGGUGAAAUCUCCGAGCUUAACUUGGAAACUGCCGUUGAUACUAUCUGCCUUGAAUAUUGUGGAGGUGAGCGGAAUAUGUCAUGUAGCGGUGAAAUGCUUAGAUAUGACAUAGAACACCAAUUGCGAAGGCAGCUCGCUACACAUAUAUUGACUCUGAGGCACGAAAGCGUGGGGAUCAAACAGG
rnacentral:rRNA from 1 species